GAUGAACGCUGGCGGCGUGCCUAAUACAUGCAAGUCGAGCGAACAGACGAGGAGCUUGCUCCUCUGACGUUAGCGGCGGACGGGUGAGUAACACGUGGAUAACCUACCUAUAAGACUGGGAUAACUUCGGGAAACCGGAGCUAAUACCGGAUAAUAUAUUGAACCGCAUGGUUCAAUAGUGAAAGACGGUUUUGCUGUCACUUAUAGAUAGAUCCGCGCCGCAUUAGCUAGUUGGUAAGGUAACGGCUUACCAAGGCAACGAUGCGUAGCCGACCUGAGAGGGUGAUCGGCCACACUGGAACUGAGACACGGUCCAGACUCCUACGGGAGGCAGCAGUAGGGAAUCUUCCGCAAUGGGCGAAAGCCUGACGGAGCAACGCCGCGUGAGUGAUGAAGGUCUUCGGAUCGUAAAACUCUGUUAUUAGGGAAGAACAAAUGUGUAAGUAACUAUGCACGUCUUGACGGUACCUAAUCAGAAAGCCACGGCUAACUACGUG
rnacentral:rRNA from 1 species